UCGUAGCUACUUGGGAGGCUGAGGCACAAGAAUCACUUGAACCCGGGAGUUGAAGCUUGCAGUGAGCCGAGAUCACACGAGUGCAGUCCAGCCAGGGCGACAUAGUAAGACACCAUCUCAAAAAAAAAAAAAAAAAAAAGAAAAAAAAGGAGAACCCAUUAUGAGGCACUGGGCUGGGGUGGAGAAUCCAGAGAUGGACAGAAAGGACAAGAUGCCACCUUUGAGGCAGCUUACACUUUGGUGAGGUUCACAGAUGAUGCACUAAUAAAUAAAUAAUUUGUAAUGAGAAUUGCUAUUAAGGAAUCAAUUGGGGGCGGGUAGUACCUACUUAGAUAAAAUAGGCAGGAAAGGCUUCUGCAGUAUUUCAUCUGAGCCCGAUAUGGAAAGCAAGUAAUGCAUAUUUCCGGCAGAGGAAGCAAAUUGCUUUAAGGUGAGAAAGAGCUCCGCAUGCCUGAAGAACUGAAAAAAGACCCGUGUGCCUGGUAAAUGGCACAGCUGAAUUUGGAGACAUAGGCAGUGUCAGCUCAUGCAGAAGCUUCACAGCUGGGAAAAGUGCUUUGAAUUCUUAGUACAAAAGAAAACCAAUGAGAGUGUGAGUGUGUGUGUAUUCAGUGUGUGUGUGUGUGUGUGUGCACAUGUAUACAUCUGUACACACAUACACAUGCAUACAGUUGACCCUUGAACAGGUGCCAACCCCCACCCGACAGCUGAAAAUUCGCCCAUAAGUUUUGACGUUCCUAAAUGUAACUCUUGUUGACCGAAAGCCUCAAGUACUAUUGAGCCUCCUGUUGACUGAAAGCCUUACUGAUAACAUAAACAGUUGAUUAACUCAUAGUUUGUGUGUUAUAUGCAUUAUAUACUCUAUUCUUACAAUAAAGUAAGCCAGAGAAAAGAAAAUAUUAUGGAGAAAAUUUAAGGAGGAGGAGAAAGAGGAGGGCUGGGUCUUGGGAUCUCAGGGGUGGUAGAGGCAGAAGAAUAUCCACGUGUAAGUGGACCUGAAUAGUUCAAACCCAUGUUGUUUGAGGGUCAACUGUGCAUACACAUGUUUAAAUGUCUGCAUAGACAUCAAUAACUCCAACUACUGCAUAGAGAACAGACUAGGAGGAGCAAUGGGGGGCGGGGUGAAAAGAAGGGUGAGGUGGUGGCCCCGUGAACUGAAGUGAUGGCAGUAAAGAUGGAGACAAAAAUAACCUUGAGAGAAAUAUUCUGGAGGUUGAAGCAACCGCAGCCGUGGAUGGACGAGAGGAAGGCAUAAGGGGCAGCAAGACAUCGGGUGUGAUUUGGGUUUCUGGCUUGAGCAGCAUGGCAGAGGACUAUCAAAGAUGGUCAGAGAGGCUCACAACACCAUAGCGAAACCGAAACCUCAUUACAGGCAGCGAAGGCAGAACUGCAGUCGCAGAAAACAGAACUACGAGGCUGAGGGCAAACCAGAGAGUCCCCACCACACAGGGAAACAGGAACAGAGAUGACGAUGGUGAGAAAGAAGACGGCAGAGAAUGCAAAGAUGCCUUGUGAACCAGAUUGGCAUUUCUGAAAAAGAAACCAGAGUAACUGAAGAAAAACAACAGUCAGAAAUAUACAUGCAGUUCCCAGAAAUGAACACCUGUGUCUAAAAUUGUCCACCCUUUGCCAAGGAAAAUUAGAAUCCAAAAUAUGACUAUUUCAUCCAGAAAUGCUUGAAUUUCCUAAAUGAAUAAUCAAAAAACAGUUUUAACUUACUCAUAGAGAAAAAAGCAAAGUCAGUGUGGCACUUACCAGGAGACAAUAGAACUGUGUCUGUAUUUUGAAGCUUAACAAGUAUGACUCAUGAAUUCUACAGCAAGCCACCUUGUUACUCAUGUGAGCAGGCAACAAAAAGAUAUUGUCACAUCUGCAAGAACUAAGAAAAUGUACCAUCUACAUGUCCUUACCCAACUCUGUCUAACAAGGGCGAUUCCAGAACAAGGUCAUGACAUAAAAGGAGUCGGAACCCAGGUGAGGCGACAAGAGCUGAGCUCAGGUUCUCGGCCUCGGAACUCUCAUGGGGAGGCGCCAGCAUGGGCACCCUCCACAGUUCGGGCCCCUCACUCACAAACCUGGCACAUCGAAACAAGCUGGCAAAAAGGUCUGCAAGUCUGCUGGAACCUGGCACGCAGUGACCCUCCUGCCCAGCCACCCGGUUCCUGAGCUUCCUCUUCAUGCAAGAGUCCACUUGUAAAACAAACAACAGGCUUAGAAUUGUUCGUCCCCUUCACCACCAGAGCCUGGCAACCAUGCAUUACCCAACAUCGGUUACCAUGACUGCAAGGAGGCAGCAGACAGCAAGCCCACAGAAGUGUGUACUGAAGAAAGGGAAUUCAACAGCUCCUGGAGUUAACAAGUGACUGUUAUUUACGGAAGGAAUGGUGUUUGCAGAUGGGAAUGACUGCAAAAUGCAUAGAAGGACACAGCCAUGCCCUUUCCACAGAAGUCACAGAACACACCUCAACACACCGAGAAGACGUCCAUGACAGGAAAAGAUGACGAAGGUCUCCUUUCUUCCACAUCGUAGAAGAUUUUCUGCCAUAAAGUCAUUAUAUUCUAUAGUUGUUUAUGUCUUCGGCAUUUUGGAGAUAGCUUUUCUCAUGAAGUGAAGACUGGCUCAGAUUGUUUGACUAACUGCAAGAAUUGUGGAAAUGGGAGGAAGAAUUCAUGAAGGAUGCCUCCCUUACCUGUAUAGAGUUGUUUUCAUUGAUAAAUGGUUGUGAUCUGUAAAACUGCGGAUAUCGACAUUUAUUUAAGGAGAACGAGCUGUAUUUGGGCAGAUUUGGCUUUGAAUUCUGUCUCUACCUCUUAGAGACUGUGCGACAAUUGUUAUUUAAUGUCUGAGUCUCAAAUGUCUCGUCUGUAAACUGAUUCUAACACUUACACUGAAUGCCGUGCUUACAUUACAGGAUGUCCAUGUUCUUCUAAUCGUGCCUUUCUAGUUUCUGUAUUCUCUGAUGUUUUGACUUCUGGGGUCUUGCUGAUCCUGGAGAGACUCCCCCUCCCAGGGCUGGUCAGUUCCUAGUAGUGGUAAGGGACUCACCUGCAAGUAUGCCUUUUGUAUGCAAGCCACCAAUCCAAAGCCCAUCCCUCCAGUGACCCCCUUUAUCUGGCUCUCACUUGCAGAGCCACUAUCCCCCUGCCCUAAUCACCCCAGGGACAGAUAUUAAACAACUAGAAAUAGCCACGAUGCCCUAGAGCCUGGUGAAAUUAUUUAAAAUGGGUAAUACUACACCUGCUUGCCUGCCCUACAUUUCCCCCUCACAACCCAUAAUAAAGUCUCUUGCCCACAUUUUCUUCUCAUUCCCUCUGCCUCCCGACUCAUCCUGGUGCUUCCCCACGUGGCCCUGCUUGGCAUAGUGUGACCGCUGCUCUUCAACUGUGAGUAACACACUCUCUACGGAAUGGCAGUCAUCUCCUGACCCAUUUCCCUCACCAUACCCGAAUAAUAAUAAAACCUACUGUCUCAGCCUGUUUGGGCUGCUGUAACAAAAUGCUGUAGACUGAGUGACUUAAACAGUAAAUAUUUAUUUCUCACACUUCUGGAGGCAGGGGAGUUCACAGUCAAGGCACUGAAAGACUCAGUGUCUGCUGAGAACCUGCUUCCUGGCUCAUGGGCAGCCAGCUUUUUCUCUGUGGCUGGAAGAAGCCAAAGCAUUCUCUAAGGUCUCUUUUAUAAUAGCAUUAAUCUGUUCAUGGGGCCUCCACCCUCAUGAUAUAGGUGGACCCCCAGUGAAUAACCUCACCUCUGAGUGCCAUCACACUGGGGGUUAGGACUGUGAUACAUGCACUUGGAGGAGACACACACAUUCAAUCCACAACAUUCAUGAUGUAAAAACACAUGCCCCAAUCUCUGGAACCUGUGAAUAUUACCUUGUGUGGCAAAAGGGACUUCACAGGUGCGAAGAAAACAUGAAUCUUGAGAUGGGAGAUUAUCUUGGGUUAGCCAGGUGGGCCUGGUGUGAUCACGAGGAUCCUUAGAAGGGAGAGGCAGGAGAUCAGCAUGAGUAGCAGAGAAGGGUGAGGCCAUGAGCCAAGGAAUGCUGAUGGCUUCUAGAAGCUGGAAGAGGUGGGGAAUGAAUUCUCCCCUGGAACCUU